GGCGUACCGGGCCCCUGCCGCACUCCGACCCAAAACUUUCAUGUUUCUACUGAAGGCCCGGCGGGUGGGAGAGAGAUCGCGAAGGUCAUCAUCACAGAGGCAUGAACAACACCUUUAGCAAGCCUCUAAGGAGCAGGGCUCGUGACCCGGGCAGACAUGCAAUUGAAUGUGAAUGUUCCCCUGACUGGCUGUAGAAGAGAAGCAGUAUUGGACAUGCUUUGAAUUAGCCACAGAUGAUUAGAAAUGAGUAUUAGUGAAUGGCAACAGUGACUAAACUAUCUGGAUUCUGAACUACUUUACUUCAAUACAAUGUUCCAGUUUUUGGUCAAUUAA